GAUGAACGCUAGCGGCAGGCUUAACACAUGCAAGUCGAGGGGCAGCGGGGUGUAGCAAUACACUGCCGGCGACCGGCGCACGGGUGCGUAACGCGUAUGCAACCUACCCAUAACAGGGGCAUAACACUGAGAAAUUGGUACUAAUUCCCCAUAACAUUCGAAGAGGCAUCUCUUUGGGUUGAAAACUCCGGUGGUUAUGGAUGGGCAUGCGUUGUAUUAGCUAGUUGGUG
rnacentral:rRNA from 1 species